rnacentral:lncRNA from 1 species
AUCAUCUCUAGGUGCCUGAAGACUUUCAAAUGCCCUCAGCCUUCUAAAGGUCCCUGAACCAUUCCACAUGGGCAUUUCUUUAUGGGUGUGUGGUUGUCUCAUACUCUUAUGAAGUUUAGUCAAGAUCAUCUGAGGAUGCCAAGUCUAGACUACAGCCCACAUACCCACGGAUGAGUGCCAACGGUCAGUAGAGGCCUCUAACCUCUUCUGCUAUUAGUACGUUAUCUUCAGUCUGCAUAUACUGUAACAUGUUCCUCAACAGCAUCCAAACACUGACAAAAUAGACAGAUUCUUCACAUCCUGAGAUGCCCCAAAUAAUCCAUAUGUUAGGACAACCACAUCUUUGUCGAGCGGGUCAAUGUAAUAAUGGGAACUGGGCUUUAUUAUGAAAGAGAAAAAUCUUGUGUUUGGCUAUGGAACUUUCUAUUUCAGAAUGGAACCUCUCCAUCUCGCCUUCCAGGAGAGGUCCCCCGAGCCCACCUGCAAAGAGAGAGACAGAGGCAUUACAAACCAAGAAGGAUUUUUGCUCAGUGCACAAGGUCACUCCUUCCUUUGUAGGAUUUACAGAAAAACUCCCUUGAAAGCAGAAUUAAAUCUUCUGAGGUCAGCUUUAGUUUAUCCAAGCGAGAAAGUUAAAGCUCAAACUGAGGAUUUUCUGGACAAUUAAGCUGUAAAAUAGCGUUACUAAAAUGAAGUUCUUCACUUGCACAUCUAAGUUCUGCAUGGUCUUUUCAUACAUAGCAGUCUGACUUAGCCCCUCAGAAAGGGACAAGAAACAGAAUCCAACCCACUAACUUAAGCAGAAAAAAAUUAUUAAAGGCUUUUGAAUAGUUCACGGAACGUCCAGAAGUGGGGAUAACCAGGAUUGGAGGCUGUGACUGCAAGGAAAAUAUGUCCAAAAUUCUGCCACCCAUCUGGGCUUGUGAAGAUGCCCUUGCUACAGUCACUGGGCACAGACAUGGCCCCUCACACUGUUCUUGGACCCUGGAUGCUGUUAGAACCAUUACCUCCACACUUCUGGAAACUGGCUGUAGUAGCGCUAUUCACACGAGAAUGGAUUCCACCCAGGACUGCCUCUUUGCAUCAUUAGUUCCUGAGUCAAAAUCUUGUGUGGAUAAGGAAGCAUUCUCUGAGAGAGCAACUUAAUCAUGGAACCCAAACAGAGUGGCCAAGUUCGAAUUUAAAAACAUAUCCCUCUGGCUUCAAGGCCAUACUUUUUCUAGUCUACCGUAUUGUUUCCAUUUAUGCUGCCUUGACCUGUUUAGAAGCAAAGAAGGGAUGGCAUUGAUGGUGACAAGUCCCUACUCCCGAAUCAGCUCUGGAUGAAAUUCCAAUAGGACCAACUGAUGAGAAGUCUACUGCGUGAACGAAGGGAAGUGUUCACAUGUGUCUGCAUGGGGAUUUAUCACAUUUCAUUUAAGUCUGUUAAAUGGUAAAAAGAUUUCAGUCCUUUGUAAC